CAGGAAGCAUAUUACAUUAGUGACCCCACCCCUUUCCGAUGUUUACACCAGUUUUCAGAAAAGACCAUUUUUAUACAUAACCAAUGUAAAUUAUUUGUUUUUCAUGUUCUGUAGGUAGUCGAUGAACAAAGGUUGUUCUGUUAUAUAACAUUUGAGUUAAAAGCACAACAUUUCACUUUUUUGUAUGCCUAUUGACUGGCACCAGGUGUAGCUCUAGCGGC